rnacentral:lncRNA from 1 species
UACACCAUAUUUGGCUCGACUAUCUGACCAAGCACCAAUAUUCCACCACCACCACUUUCUCUUUUCAAACAAUGAGAAAACGCAUUUGGGGUGAUUCCCUGCGACGAAUCCUUGUUGUCCGAAUCCAAAUAUACCAUCAACUGCCCUGUCUGGCUUUGUCAGAUCCCCAAACUGUGAUGUGCUACAACUGUGUAAUAAAAUAACAAGGGGAAGUUUUCAAGAAAAACAUAAUUUCGA